rnacentral:lncRNA from 1 species
UUCAGGGGAGACAGGAGGGGUACACCUAGAGGUCUGAUAUCAGCCCUUCAGGCUCGCAGGUUGCUUAGGAGGGGAUGUCAGGGGUAUUUGGCUCAUGUGAGAGAGCUUAGCAGUCAGGUUAGAGAGCCCGCCUCGGUGCCGGUGGUCAGAGAGUUUUUGGAUGUGUUCCCAGACGAGCUGCCAGGUUUACCACCUGCUAGGGAGAUAGAGUUCGAGAUAGAACUGAUGCCUGGAACCCGACCGAUCUCUAUCCCUCCUUACAGGAUGGCGCCAGCAGAAUUGAAAGAGUUGAAGGAGCAGUUACAGGAGCUGGUAGACAAGGGCUUCAUCCGACUGAGUACCUCACCCUGGGGUGCUCCAGUUUUGUUUGUGAGAAAGAAGGAUGGAUCCCUCAGACUUUGUAUCGACUACAGGCAGUUGAACAACGUCACUACCAAGAACAGGUACCAUUUGCCAAGGAUCGAUGAUCUAUUCGACCAACUAGCAGGAGUGGAUUGUUUCUCUAAAAUAGAUCUGAGGUCCGGGUAUCAUCAGCUGAGGAUCAGAGAGGAAGAUGUGCGAAAGACAGCUUUCAGGACCAGAUAUGGGCAUUUUGAGUUCCUUGUGAUGCCGUUCAGGUUAACCAACGCCCCUGCAGCAUUCAUGGAUCUCAUGAACAGAGUGUUUAGCCAGUACCUGGAUCACUUCGUUAUUGUUUUCAUAGAUGAUAUCUUGGUGUAUUCCAGGAAUGCAGAGGAGCAUGCCCAUCAUUUGAGGUUGGUUCUACAGACCUUGAGGGAGCAUGGCUUGUAUGCCAAGUUCUCCAAGUGUGAGUUCUGGCUGAGGAGCAUUUCAUUCAUAGGGCAUGUGGUGUCAGAAAAUGGAAUAUAGGUAGACCCCAAAAAGGUAGAAGCUGUGGCUAACUGGCCUAGACCCACUUCAGUGUCAGAGAUUAGAAGUUUCUUGGGUUUGGCAGGUUACUACAGGAGGUUCGUUCAGGACUUCUCAAAAAUUGCAGCUCCUCUGACCAGGUUAACCAGGAAGAAUCAGAAGAUUGUGUGGACUGACCAGUGCGAAGAGAGUUUUGAAGAGCUUAAGAAGAGGUUAACGUCAGCACCAGUGUUAGCUCUGCCAGCUAGCAAUGAGGACUUCACAGUGUUCUGUGAUGCAUCCCGAGUGGGUAUGGGUUGUGUGCUAAUGCAGAAUGAAAGGGUGAUUGCUUAUGCUUCUAGGCAGCUAAAGAAGCAUGAGUUGAAUUACCCCACACAUGACCUAGAAAUGGCAGUCGUUAUCUUUGCACUCAAGAUGUGGAGGCAUUACCUUUACGGUGUUAAAUGUGAGAUCUUCACAGAUCAUAAAAGCCUACAGUACAUCCUGAGUCAAAGAGAUUUGAACUUGAGACAGAGAAGAUGGGUAGAACUGCUGAGUGAUUAUGAUUGCAAGAUUCAAUACCAUCCGGGUAAGGCGAAUGUUGUGGCAGACGCCCUAAGCCGGAAGUCACUAGGCAGUUUAUCCCACAUCACGGCGGAGAGGAGACCAGUGGUGAAGGAGUUUUACAAGCUCAUUGAUGAAGGUCUAUAGUUGGAGUUGUCUGGUACAGGUGCUUUAGUUGCUCAGAUGAGAGUGGCACCCGUGUUUCUGGAGCAGGUGGCUCAGAAACAGCAUGAGGACCCAGAGUUAGUGAAGAUUACCAGGACUGUUCAGUCAGGCAAAGAUAGUGAGUUCAGAUUCGACAACAAGGGGAUCCUUCGCUAUGGGAGUCGUUUGUGUGUACCAGAUGACGUAGGGCUAAAAGGAGACAUUAUGAGAGAGGCUCAUAAUGCAAGAUACAACAUUCACCCCGGAGCCACCAAGAUGUAUCAAGAUCUGAAGAAGGUUUAUUGGUGGCCAGCUAUGAAGAGAGAGGUGGCACAGUUUGUGUCAGCCUGCGAAGUGUGUCAAAGGGUGAAGCUGGAACAUCAGAAGCCGGCUAGAAUGCUUAACCCGCUACCUAUUCCAGAGUGGAAAUGGGAGAAUAUAGCUAUGGACUUCGUAGUGGGGUUACCGGCGACGUCCAACAGAUUGGACUCCAUAUGGGUGAUUGUGGACAGACUCACCAAAUCUGCUCACUUCAUCCCUGUCAGGAGUGGCUAUUCUGUGGACAAAUUGGCACAGGUGUAUGUUGAUGAGAUUGUCAGGCUGCAUGGGGUUCCUGUUUCUAUAGUGUCUGAUAGAGGACCCCAGUUCACCUCCAGGUUUUGGCGGAGUCUGCAGGAUGCCAUGGGUACCAGGUUGGAUUUUAGUACUGCUUUCCAUCCACAGACGGACGGACAGUCGGAGAGGACCAUCCAGACAAUAGAGGAUAUGCUUAGAAUGUGUGUGCUGGACUUUGGCGGUUCUUGGAGGCAGCAUCUGCCUUUGGUGGAGUUUGCCUACAAUAACAGCCAUCAUGCCAGCAUCGGGAUGGCUCCAUAUGAAGCUUUGUAUGGGAGGAAGUGCAGAUCACCUGUUUGCUGGGAAGAAGUUGGAGAAAAGGCCUUGGCAGGGCCUGAGCUAGUAGAAAUCACCAGCAGGGUGGUACCCUUAAUCAGAGGAAGAAUCAAGACUGCUGCAAGCAGACAGAAGAGUUAUGCAGAUAUCCGCAGAAGGCAAGUAGAGUUUCAGGAGGGGGAUCUGGUAUUGCUCAAGGUGUCUCCUAUGAAAGGAGUGGUUCGGUUCGGGAAGAAAGGUAAGCUGGCUCCACGGUACAUCGGACCCUUUGAAGUCUUGCAAAAGAUUGGGAAUGUAUCGUACAAGCUGGAUUUACCUGCUUCAAUGGAAAGAAUCCAUCCGGUUUUCCAUGUUUCUAUGUUGAGAAAGUUCGUGUCAGAUCUGGGCAAGGUUCUUAGUGAGCCUGAUGUGGAGAUCCAAGAGGAUCUCACCUAUGUUGAACAGCCGGUACAGAUUCUGGACACUCAAAUCAGGAAGUUGAGGAACAAGGAAAUCCCGAUGGUGAAAGUCCUUUGGAACCACCACAAUCUGGAAGAAUGCACCUGGGAGACACGGGAGUCCAUGCUCCAGCAAUACCCUUAUCUUUUCUAAGGUUAGUUUCUUAUAUGUUUCAUGUGUUUUAUGUGUAUGAUAUGUUGUAUGCCUUGCAUGUGCUAGUUGAGGAACAUUCGGGGACGAAUGUUCUUAAGGGGGGAGAAUGUAAUACCCGGCUAGACUCCGGUAUCGGAAUUCCUACCGUCCGGUGGAAUCUCAGGUGUCGGAGACCUCUAGAAGGGUAAAACCAUGUUUUUAUAAAAUGUUUUAAUGUGUUUUAUAUUUUAAGCAUGAAAGAAAAUGAGUUUUUGCAUGAAAACAACCUUGGAGGAAAACUCAGGUUCGGCCGCCGAACAUGCAUGCGUUUCGGGUGUGCCUUAGGCCAGCGAAAGUAUAAGUGAGGGAAACCAGGUUCGGCCGCCGAACCUUAUGUUCGGCCGCCGAACAUGGCAUGCAUGCGGAGGCACUUUCGGCUCCCGAACGUGGCCUGGCCAGCCACCUAUAAAGGGGUCCCUUAGCCGAAAACGGGCGAGCUUUUCUCCCCAUUUUCGGCCAAGGUGAGCUCUCCGCCAUCCCUCACCAAUCUUGAGUUUCUUCCUUCAAAUAUUUCAAGAUUUUCAUUAGUUUUACUCUUUUUUUGAAGAUUUUGAACUUUUGAGCAAGUUUUGGAGCUUGGAGGUUCAAGGAACUCUCUCUCUCCCAUUUUUCAAGCUAGGGUCAUUCUCCUCUCGAUCUUCAAGAGGUAAGGGCCGAUCUUGAGCUUAUUGCAUGUUUUAAGUAAGUUUUAAGUAGAUCUAUGGGGUAGAAACGCAUGUUAGGUUAUUGUUAUGUUUAUGGGUAUAUGUUGUGUUUAUGAUCAAUGUGGAUGUUUGAUGUGUUGUAGAUGGGGUUUAAGAUGGUUUGAAGCCCCUAGGAACUUGUAUGCUUGAGUAUGUAUGUUGUAGAUUAGGGAAAAUGCAUGUUUGGAAGGUUGGGAGGCAUUUGUGCAUGAGGAGCUGAAGUUUCUGCCCUUUGGCAGAAACCAGGUUCGGCAGCCGAAGGACUUUCGGCCGCCGAACAUGACUGGGAGGCAAGCCUUUCGGCUGCCGAAGCCUACCCCCAAAAAGAGACUUUCGUCUCUGGAGGGCAAUUUCGGCCGCCGAAGGUGCCGCCGAACCUGCCUAACUUUCGGCUCUGGAGGGACUUUCGGCCGCCGAAGGUGCCGCCGAAAGUGCCUGUGCAGCCCCCCUUUGCAUGUUUUUCCAUGAUGUUUUGAGGUGUUUUAAGGGGGUUUUUGGGGAAUAUUUUAGAGUCAUGUUCUAGUAUGUUUGGUCCUUCAUUUGAGUCCACCUGUGUAGGUUCGGACCCGAGGAACCGAGGACCCCAGCAGUGAGUUCAGCUGCUUCGGUGUUGUCAGAGUCAGCCAGAGGUGAGUGGAACUAAACUUAAUCUUUUAAAUUGAGAAAUUAAAUGUUUAUCAUGUUUCAUGCAUCAUGAGUAUGCAAUAGGAUGAUUGCAUUAGAUUUCACGAAUAUGUUGCAUUGCAUUCUUUAUUGUUGAUGUGGGUGAAUGUUGGAUGACCCAAUUAGUCCCUGAGGGAAGACCAGGACCCCAUUCUACGGCCUGGCACGGAAAUGAAAGACCAGGACCCCAUUCUACCGCCUGGCACGGAUAUGGGACUCGAAGACCAGGAGCCCAGAGGAGGCCCUGGGGCAAUGGUAAGUAAUGUAUGAUAUGACAGGAAGACCAGGACCCCAUGCUACGGCCUGGCACAAAUGAUGCUGGGACUAUUUGGUGACAAGUUCACCCAACCCUUAUGUGAAUUGUCUGUGUUAUGAUGCAUUUCAUUGGAGCAUGUUUGUUAAUAUGUUUUUAUGGUUCUACUCACUGGGCUUUUUAGCUCACCCCUCUCCCUUUAACCCCCAGGCUUGCAGGUACAGGAUAGAGCAGGAAGUCGGAUAGAGUAAAGUCAUGGUUAUGUAAUAGCUAGAAGUGGACAUGAUUAAAUUGUAAUGUAAUGUCUUAUACAGUUAUGAUAUGUGAGGAUGAUGUAUUGAGGAUUAGAAAUUGUGCUUGACCGAGUUUGUGUAGUAAUCCCUUUUGAUACAUGAUCUAUAGAAUGUUUUAUGAUGUUUAUGUUCAACAAAGCUUACUUCAUGUAUGUUAUGAUACCCCAUUGGAGUAUUGGAUGAGGGCUCCAGUGUGUGGUUUACGUUAUGUUAUGAGUAUGCACAGGUUGAGCUUGGUUUAUGGAAAGGAAAAGUUUAAAGGUUUAUGAGUAUGUAUGAUCAUGUAUGGGAUUUGAUAGGUUCACAGGUUACAUGUCAGGCUUGCUACGGGUCCCGGCGGCCUUAAGCCGAUCUGGAUCCUAGCGCCGGUAGCAGUCCGAUUUUCGGGUCGUUACAGAACCUGACUGUGGAGGCCAGCCUUUGGCUGCCGAACUCUGCCCCCGAAAGUGGACUUUCGGCUCUGGAAGGGAGUUUCGGCCGCUGAAGGUGCCGCCGAACAUGCAUGAGUUUCGUCUCUGGAAGGAACCUUCGGCCGCCGAAAGUGCCGCCGAAGGUGCAUGACUUUCUUCUCUGGAGGGACUUUCGACCGCCAAACCUGCCGCCGAAAGUGCCCUGUUCAGCCUUCCUUUGCAUGAUUUCUAUGAUUGUUUUAAGGUGUUUUAGGGGAUUUUUGGGGAGUAUUUUAGAGUCAUGUUCAUGUAUGUUUGGUCCCUCAUUUGAGUCCACCUGUGUAGGUUCAGACCCGAGGAACCAAGGACCGCAGCAGUGAGACAGCUGCUUCAGUGUCUUGUCAGAGCUAGCAUGAGGUGAGUGGAAUAACUCUUUAUGUUGCAAAGUAAAUAAAUCAGAUUUUGAGCAUGUUCAUGCAUCACGAAUGCCAUAAGAUAAAUUAGGUUGUUUGCAUUAGAAUUCACGAAUAUGUUGCAUUGCAUAAUAUGUUGAUGAUGUGGAUGAGUAUUGGAUGAUCCUUUAGUCCUCGUAUGAUAUGAGAUGAUGAUGACAUGAUGUGAUAUGGUAUGGUAUGGAAGUCCAGGUCGAGGCCCAUUCUACGCCCCUGGCACUAUGUUAAGAGAAAGACCAGAUCGAGGCCCAUUCUACGCCCCUGGCAUUAUAGGAAUGUUAUGUUAUGUAUGUUAUGUUAAGAGAAAGACCAGGACGAGGCCCAUUCUAUGCCCCUGGCACUAUUGGAUAUGUAAAGGACUAUUGGGGACAAAACAAUCCUUGAUGUGAUUUGUCUGUGAUGUGAUGCAUUCCAUGAUAGCAUGUGUUUUAAAUGUUUUAUUAUUCUGCUCACUGAACUCUAGUAGCUCACCCCAUUUCCCUAAUCCCCCAGGUAUGCAGGUACGGGAUAGGCCAGGAGGUCAAGAAGAGUAAAGUUAUGUUUUAUGUAAUAGUUAGCUGUGGACAUGAGGAUGAUGUAAUGUAUAGUAAUGUAAUGUAUUGACGAGUAUUGAGGUUUAGAGAUGUGCUUGACCCUAGUAUGUUGUUAAUCCCCUUUUGAAAGGUCAUGUAACAAAAGGGAUUAACAUACAUACUAGGGUCAAGCACAACUCUAAUCCUCAAUAACAUCAUUAUAUUACAUAACUGAUCAAUACUAUACUUUACAUUACAUCAUUCUCAUGUCCUCUUCUAACUAUUACAUAGACAUGACUUUACUCUAGCUGACCUCCUGGUCUAUCCCGUACCUGCAAACCUGGGGAAAUUAGGGAGUGGGGUGAGCUACUAGAGCCCAGUGAGCAGAAUAAUAAAACAUUAUAUUUAAAACUUAUGAUAUCAUGAAAUGCAUCACAGCACAAACAAAUCACAUCAAGGAUGAACUUGUCACCAUUUAGCCCUCCAUACAGUCUAAUCAUGCCAGGGGCGUAGUGCAGGCAUGCCUGGACUUCCAUAUCAUAACAUACAUAUCCAAUCGUGCCGGGGGCGUAGUGCAGGCACGCUCGGACUUUCUUUUACAUAGUGCCAGGGGCGUAGAGCAGGCACGCCUGGACUUCCAUAUCCUAUCAUCAUGUCAUAACAUAUGAGGGCUAAUGGAUCAUUCAACAUUCAUCCACAUCAACAACAUAAUAUGCAAUGCAACAUAUUCGUGAAUUCUAAUGCAAGCACUCUAAUAUAUCCCAUGGCAUUCAUGAUGCGUGAAUUAUGCUAAAACUUUCUUUAUUUGCUUUGAAACAUAAAGAGUUAUUCCACUCACCUCUGGCUAGCUCUGACAAGACACUGAAGCAACUGUCUCACUGCUGGGGUCCUCGGUUCCUCGGGUCCAAACCUACACAGGUGGACUCAAAUGAGGGACCAAACAUUCAUGAACAUGACUCUAAAAUACUCCCCAAAAAUCCCCUAAAACACCUUAAAACAAUCAUAGAAAUCAUGCAAAGGAAGGCUGGGCAGGGCACUUUCGGCGGCAGGUUCGGCGGCCGAAAGUCAUGCACCUUUGGCGACACUUUCGGCGGCCGAAGGUUCUCUCCAGAGACAAAACUCAUGCAUAUUCGGCGGCCGAAAGUCCCUUCCAAAGCCGAAAGUCCUCUUUCGGGGGCAGGGUUCGGCAGCCGAUUCAUGCUACCACAGGCAGGUUCGGCGGCCGAAAGGGCCUUCGGCUGCGGAACCUGGGUCCUCCCAAGUGGCAGAACCCAGCCCUUAUCAUGCACAAAUGCCUCCCAAAACUACACAACUCAACCAAACUACUUCCAAAGCAUGCAUACACAUAUACAUGAGCUCCUAGGGGUUUCAAACUGUCCUGAACCCCAACUACAACACAUCAAACAUGCAUAAACAACCCACAUUGCUCAUAAACACAACAUAAACCAAACACUCAACAUAAACCUAUACAUGCAUUUCUACCCCAAGAAACUUCAUGAAACUCAACUAAAACAUGAAAAGAAGUGUGGAUCUACUCUUACCUCUUGAAGAUCGAGAGGGAAGACGAUCCAACUCGGAGAUGGGAGAGAUCUCGCUCCUUGGGUCUCCAAGUUCCAAAACUUGCUCUUUUGCUCUAAUAUCUUCAAACCAAGAUAAAACUUGUUAAAACUUGAAAGAUUUGAAGGAAAACAUCAAGAAUCAACCAUGGGAGAGCAUGGACUCACCGUUGGCCGAAAAUGGGGAGAAAACUCGCCCGUUUCGGCCAUGGAGCCCUUUUUAUAGGGGCUGCCAGACCACCUUUCGGCAGCCUAAAGUGCCUCCAAAACUAAUGCAAGUUCGGCGGCCAAACCUUGGCCAUUUUCGGAAGCCUAACUUGCCCCUCCAAACCAUCCCAUGUUCGGCGGCCGAACCUGGAAAUGCCUCCAUGGUCUUUUUCAUUCAAAACUCAAUUUCUUUCUUACUUAAAUUCAUAAAAUACAUUAAAACAUUUUAUGAAAAUAUGGUUUUACCCUUCUAGAGGUUUUCGACAUCCGAGAUUCCACCGGACGGUAGGAAUUCCGAUACCGGAGUCCAGCCGGGUAUUACAAUGUUUGAAGAGGGCAUGGGAGAGUCUCAGGGAGGCACUUAGGCCUCGAGAUUUGUCCAGCCAUCCCAGUACCCACCCUUUUCACAGAAUCCCGGGUAUUCGAUGGGAGGUACAUCGGAUUACCCCAGCUUUAACCCUUAUCACUCUCACAUGCCAUACCCACCUUUCUACCCACCAUACCCACAGUACCCUAUGUACCCACCCCCAUCUUUCUACCCAGGUACAGCAAACCCUAACCCAGGGGAUGUUGCACCUCCUCCACCACCAGCAGAACCUACUGUCCCAGAAACCCAAGUACCUAAACCUAGCUCAUCUAGAGGGAGCAAGGUCAAGAUGACCGAUUACAUGAAGCUGGGUGCUCCCCAGUAUGAAACAAGUGAUGACCUGUUUGAGUACCUUGGGAGGGUCAAGAUGAUUACAGAUGAGAUAGAAACUGAUGACAAUAGAGCCAUUCAGAUGGCUGGGUUCACACUGAAGUGCAAGAAGGCCCGAGAGUGGUUCAAAAACUAUGUGAACCCGAGAUUGGAUAGCCUAUCAUGGGAAGAGUUUGCUAAUGAGUUUGCAGGAUGGGCUUUCCUUGACAGUUCAAAGGAGUUAAAGAUGAUCGAAUUUGACCAGUUGAGGCAGACAGAGGAUAUGAGUGUAGAGCAGUUCACAGAUAGGUUCUUAGAGCUGUUGCCGUUUGCAGGGCAGACCCUUGAUACAGAUCAGAAGAAGGCUAGGAGGUAUAUCAUGAAGCUCCAUUCCAGGUAUUCCUCCUUGAUCCAAUCAGCAGGUAGGGAGAGCUUCCAUGCCAUAGUAGAUAUGGCCCAGAAAAUGGAGGCUAGUGCCAUCAUUCAGGGAACAGUUAAGCAGUCAGUGCACAACCCUCUGGUUCCAAGACCCCAGGUGGGGGAAGGUUAGACCCUUCUUCUCUGAAUGCAGCAGCUUCAGGCAGUAAAAAGUGGGGUAAGGCCAAGUCUAAGAAGAACAAGUUCUGGAACAAGAUCAAGUCAGGUCUGGGAUUAGGAAGUGGCUCGAGCUCAGGUGCAGAUAAUGCAGUAUGUGUAAAACCCGGCUAGACUCCGGUAUCGGAAUUCCUACCGUCCGGUGGAAUCUCGGAUGUCGGAAGCCUCUAGUAGGGGUAGAAACAUGUUUUCAUAAAAGGUUUUAAUGUAUUUCAUGGUUUUAAGUAAGAAGGAAAUGGGUUUUUGCAUGAAAACAACCUUGGAGGAAAACUUAGGUUCGGCCGCCGAACAUGCAUGCCUUCGGGAGCGCUUUUAGGCCCCCGAAAGAAUAAGUGAGGGAAGUCCAGGUUUAGCCGCCGAACAUGGCAUGCAUGCGGAGGCACAUUCGGCCCCCGAACGUGGCCUGGCCAGCCACUAUAAAAGGGUCCUUUAGCCGAAAAUGGGCGAGCUUUUCUCCCCAUUGUCGGCCAAGGUGAGCUCUCCGCCGUCCCUCACCAAUCUUUGAGUUCUUCCUUUAGAUCUUUCAAGAUUUUCAUGAGUUUUUGCUUUGUUUUGAAGAUUUUCAAGUUUUGAGCAAGUUUUGGAGCUUUGAGGUUCAAGGAAACUCAACCCCUCCCAUCUCCGAGUUUAGGUCGUCUCUCUCUCUAUCUCCACGAGGUAAGAGCCGAUCUUAAGCUCAUUGCAUGUUUUAAGUAAGUUUUAAGUAGAUCUAUGGGGUAGAAUGCAUGUUUAGCUCAUGGUUAGGUUUAUGGGUUUUAUAUGUGUUUAUGAACAAUGUGAGUUGCUUGAUGUGUUGUAGUUGGGGUUUUUGAUGGUUUGAUGCCCCUAGGAACUUGUAUGCUUGUUUGUGUAUGAUUGGGAAUGUUGUAGAAUAGGUUUAUGCAUGAUUGGAUAGUUUUGGAGGCAAAUGUGCUUAGAAGAGCUGAGUUUCUGCCACUAUGGGAGAAACCAGGUUCGGCAGCCGAAGGAACUUUCGGACGUUGAACAUACUUGUGGAGGCAGCCUUCGGCUGGCAAAGCUCGCCCCCGAAAGAGGACUUUCGUCUCUGUCUGGGAGUUUCAGCCGCCGAAGGUGCCGCCGAACCUGCCUGACUUUCGGCUCUGGAGGGACUUUCGGCCGCCGAACCUGCCGCCGAAAGUGCCCUGUCCAGCCUUCCUUUGCAUGUUUUCCUAUGGUUGUUUCAUGAUGUUUUAGGGGGUUUUUGGGGAGUAGUUUAGAGUUAUGUUCUAGUUGUUUGGUCCCUCAUUUGAGUCCACCUGUGUAGGUUCGGACCCGAGGAACCGAGGACCCCAGCAGUGAGUCAGCUGCCCUAGUGUCUGGUCAGAGCUAUCCAGAGGUGAGUAGAAUAAACCUUUACGUUUUAAAGUAAAUCAAAUUGUAAAGUUUUGAGCAUGUUCAUGCAUCAUGAAUGCCAUGUGAUGAUUUAGGUUGUUUGCAUUAGAAUUCACGAAUAUGUUGCAUUGCAUAUUUUAAUGUUGAUGUGGAUGAAUGUUGGAUGAUCCAUAGCCCUCGAUCUAUGAUGCGACGAUGUGAUAUGUACGGUACGGAAUGUAAGACCAGUGGGACCCAUUCUACGUUCGCUGGCACUAUGUAAGAGAAAGACCAGGACCCAUUCUACGUUCUGGCACAGUUGGACUAUGUAGAGGGCUAUUGGUGACAAGUUCAUCCUUGAUGUGAUUAGCUGUGAUGUGAUGCAUGCCAUGUUAUCAUGUGUUUUGAAUGUUUUAUUAUUCUGCUCACUGGGCUCUAGUAGCUCACCCCUCUCCCAAAUUCCCCAGGUUUGCAGGUACAGGGUAGACCAGGAGGUCCGCAAGAGUAAUGAAGUCAUGUGUAUGUAAUAGAUAGUGUGGACAUGAUGAAUGUAUUAAUGUUAUGUAAAAAGUACAGUUUUAGUCAUGUAAUGAUAUUGAGGAUUAGAGAUUGCGCUUGACUAUAUGUAUAAGAUAUCCCUUUUAAUACAUGAUCUUAAAUGUUUUAUGAUGAUUAUGCAAACCAACUCAACUUAUGAUGUAUCGCCCAUUGGGGCAUUGAUGAGAUCCCACAGAGGGGUCAUGAGUAUGAUUAUGAUUAUGUACAGUGCAUGCACAGGUUGAGUUUGGUGUAUGAAUGAAAGAAAAGUUUUAAUUUUUAAGUAUGUUGUUGAUCAUGUAUGGGAUUAAGCAGGUUUACAGGAUGUAUGUCAGGCUUGCUACGGGUCCCGGAGGCCUUAAGCCGACCUGGAUCCUAGCGCCGGUAGCGGUUCGAUUUUUAGGUCGUUACAGUAUGCAUGAAGUGUGGGAAGCCGCACAAGGGAGUAUGUCGGUUUGGGACGACAGCCAGCUUUAGAUGUGGGCAGGAGGGACACAUGGCAUGGGAGUGUCCUAGAGCAGCUUUUGUGGCACAGUCCCAGCAGACAGCUUCGGGUAGUGUGGCUCAGCCAGCAGCUCCAACCGCGAUUCAGGCCAGUGGCAGAGGCAGAGGGAGAGGGUCAGCCUCUUCUUCAGCGAGUUUCAGGGGUGAAGGUCCAUCAGCUCCAGCAUGGAUCUUCACGAUGACUCAACAGGAGGCAAAUGCAUCAAACACCGUAGUGUCAGGUAAUCUCAUCAUUGGUUGUUCAGAUGUUUAUGCCUUAAUGGACCCUGGUGCAUCUCAUUCUUUCAUUGCUCCGAGAGCCGUCGAGAGGUUGGGUAAGAUGGUCUCUGGGUUAGAGUGUCCCCUAUGGGUCAGUGGACCCAAGUGUGACUCAUCAGUGGCAGAGUCAGUCUGCCAGUGUAGUCCAGUUUUUGUUGAGGGGAGAUGCCUUUCAGCGGACCUUGUGGUUCUAGAUUUGACAGAUUUUGACGUCAUUCUAGGGAUGGAUUGGCUAUCCACCCAUGGUGCUACCUUGGACUGUAGAGACAAGGUAGUCAGGUUCAGAGGUCAGGAUGGGUCAGAGGUUGUCUUCAGAGGAGACAGGAGGGGUACACCUAGAGGUUUGAUAUCAGCCCUACAGGCUCGUAGGCUGCUCAGGAGGGGUUGUCAAGAUUUUCUAGCUCAUGUGAGAGAGCUAGAUAGUCAUGUCAGAGAGCCCGCCUCAGUGCCCGUGGUCAGAGAGUUUUUAGACGUCUUCCCAGACGAGCUGCCAGGUUUACCACCUACUAGGGAUAUAGAGUUCGAAAUAGAGUUAAUGCCUGGAACCAAACCGAUCUCUAUCCCUCCCUACAGGAUGGCACCAGCUGAAUUGAAGGAGCUUAAAGAGCAGUUGCAAGAGUUGGUAGAUAAGGGCUUCAUCCGACCGAGUACCUCACCUUGGGGUGCUCCAGUGUUGUUUGUGAGAAAGAAGGAUGG